rnacentral:rRNA from 1 species
UACGUAGGUGGCAAGCGUUGUCCGGAAUUAUUGGGCGUAAAGCGCGCGCAGGCGGUCCUUUAAGUCUGAUGUAAAAGCCCACGGCUCAACCGUGGAGGGUCAUUGGAAACUGGGGAACUUGAGUGCAGAAGAGAAAAGCGGAAUUCCACGUGUAGCGGUGAAAUGCGUAGAGAUGUGGAGGAACACCAGUGGCGAAGGCGGCUUUUUGGUCUGUAACUGACGCUGAGGCGCGAAAGCGUGGGGAGCAAACAGG